AGGGAUUGCCCUAGUAACGGCGAGUGAAGCGGCAUCAGCUCAAAUUUGAAAUCUGGCUCUUUCAGAGUCCGAGUUGUAAUUUGCAGAGGGCGCUUUGGUGUCGGCAGCGGUCCAAGUUCCUUGGAACAGGACGUCACAGAGGGUGAGAAUCCCGUACGUGGUCGCUGACCUACACCGUGUAAAGCCCCUUCGACGAGUCGAGUUGUUUGGGAAUGCAGCUCUAAAUGGGAGGUAAAUUUCUUCUAAAGCUAAAUACUGGCCAGAGACCGAUAGCGCACAAGUAGAGUGAUCGAAAGAUGAAAAGCACUUUGGAAAGAGAGUCAAACAGCACGUGAAAUUGUUGAAAGGGAAGCGCUUGCAGCCAGACUUGCUUGUAGUUGCUCAUCCGGGCUUUUGCCCGGUGCACUCUUCUGCGAGCAGGCCAGCAUCAGUUUGGACGGUUGGAUAAAGGCCUCUGUCACGUACCUUCUCUCGGGAAGGCCUUAUAGGGGGAGGCGUCAUGCAACCAGUCUGGACUGAGGUCCGCGCAUCUGCUAGGAUGCUGGCGUAAUGGCUGUAAGCGGCCCGUCUUGAAACACGGACCAAGGAGUCUAACAUCUAUGCCAGUGUUUUGGGUGUCAAGCCCCGAGCGCGUAAUGGAAAGUGAACCGGAGGUGGGGACCCCCGCAAGGGGUGCACCAUCCAACCGAUCCCUGAUGUCUUCCGGAGGGAUUUUGAGUAAAAAGCAUGGGCUGUUGGGGAACCCGAAAAGAUGGGUGAAACUAAUGCUUGGAAUAAGGGG
rnacentral:rRNA from 1 species